ensembl:lncRNA
GCUAAGAGGCAAGCACCAAACAGGGACUAUUCCCCUGUGACUGGAACCCAGUUGAUGAGUCCCACGACAAAAACUGCAGCAGGUAAUUCCAGAGCAGGUGGGAAGAAAAUGAAUACCCCUCAAACAAAAGAGCCCAUGACAGAUGCUGAGAGGUCUAAGGUGAAAAAAUCAUUCAAGGACCUUAUGAAAUACAGACAACAGCUGGAAACAUUAGUGCCAGUAGAGGGCAGUGGUGAGCUGAGGAGUCUUCUGCUGAUGAGUCCUGCUGAUCUACAAACUGAACUCAAGAGACAUGAGAAUCUGUGUGAGUCCUUUUUCUUUUCAGCUGUAAUUCAUAAACUUCAUAAUGCAUGGAAAUAAAAUGAUUCACUUUCUCAAGGUCACUUUAUAGACAUUUGUUAAACAAUUUAUUUGCUAUUAAGAGUAUUGGCUAUCAAUUCUUGCUGAAACAUAAAACUGAAUUCUUUGCUUUCCAGCUGCUAAAAUUGCUUCUUGUGCACAUAGAGCAGACACAACCAAGGGCCAUUUCCAAGGUGAGUAAAUUUGGAAAUCAAAUGAAUGUUCAGAAAUGAAUUAAAAAGUUUAUUUGCUAUUUAAAAGCAUGAACGAUAAAACUUAUCUUAAGUGGAUAUCCAAUCAAAGAUAAUCCAGAUCAGAUAGCAACCACUUCACAGUUAGUUAUGUUUCAAAUCUUGAAAGUUUCCCUAUCACAACAACAGUCUUUGUUAGACUCUGACACAAGGAUAAGUUAUGAGCCACGUUGAAUUGAUUCCAAUAACAGUAUGAUGAUUGUGACCCCAUUGCUUUGCUUAAAAGAGCAAGAGAAAGAAAACAUUUUGUGUUCCACUUAUAUGUGAGUCAUGAUUGAUUUCAAGCACUAGCACAAGUUCUGGAUCUUGGUCACAUGGGACCCAUGAAUAGCCAUUUAUGAGAUUUGGUUGUCAAUGCGGUGUGUUCAUAGAUAUUUGUCUCGAUGUCUGCACAUAUAAAAGGUUCUCUUUUUCUAAGACAAAUAUUUCAUUUUCCUAACACAAACAAGCCAGAACUCCUCUUCAUGGGACAGAAUUAAUUAGAUUAUUUCAAGCACACAUUCAGCCCCCAGCAAAGCUGCACUUGUGAUUCAGUCACACAAUGGUGAUUUGUUGCAACUCAAUGGUUGAAUUGUGAUGAAGUUCAGCAUGUUUUUAAGAUAAGGUCGCCUGAAAUUGUUUUAAUUAGUCACACCCGAGGACCUCUGCGUAUAUGUUGCUUGUAGCUCGACACCAAAGGAAUGUCACAAUCUUGAUCACAUGGUGGAGCAUGAAAUUUAUCAAUAUAAUAAACAACAACAACAGUACA